UGAGCUGUACGUGUGUUAUUUCUGCCCCUUCCCUCCCUCCUGCAAAUCUCUAUGGUGUUGAGAUGGUCCUAGCAUCUCAGGAAUUUUUCAGGGACAAGAAAUCACCCUCCUGACCAAAUAUUAAUAUAAUAUAGAACCAGAAAGCGCUCACCCAUGUCUGCUGAGACUGGACUGAGAACUGGGCUGGAGUCCCACCCGCUGGGGCCUCCUUGUUCCUUGUCCAGCUGCCCAUAGACAGCCUUGAUGGCCAGGGGGUCUGGGAACCCAUGUUGGGGCAGUGACAUCAGCUCUGGGGACACCGUCCUGCAUGAAUCACACUUUUGAGGGGCUUCUCACAGCUGUUCUGCCAUACCCCGUCCAUAGGUGUAUCAGCCACUGCGUAGGGCCUGGCAUGCCCGACUCUGGCCUCCUGCACUUGAUCUACACGUUAAUGGGGGGGACCCAGCCCAUGUUCAUGAAGGGUCAGCAUGCCCAGUACCAUACGUACCCGGGGAGCUCACAGACUAGAUGUGUGCUGGAUGGUUUUCCAUUCUUCCUAUUAUGGACUGAAUUAUGCCCCUCCCCAAGUCAUGUGUUAAAGCCCUCACCCCCAGUGUGACUAUAUUUGGACAUAGGGCCUUUAAGGAGGUAAUUAAAGUUAGAUUAGGUCAUCAGGGUGGUGCCCAAUGCAAUAGGACAGGUGUCCUUAUAAGAAGAAGAAGAGGCACCUGAGAUCUCUCUCUUUUCUCCCACACACGGAGGAAAGGCCACGUGAAGACGCAGCAAGAAGGCGGCUGUCUGCAAGCCAGGAAGAGAGCCCUCCCCAGGAGUCAACCCUGACGGCACCUCGAGUUUGCACUUCCAGCCUCUAGAACUGCCCUUGGGUUUGGACUGGAGUCACACCACCAGCUUUCCCAGGACUCCAGCUUGCAGACAGCAGACUGUGGGACUUCUCAGCCUCCGUCAUUACGGUCACAGUUAAGGCUGUCACAGAUGUCAUCAGUUAAGGCUCUCAAGAUGGAAUCCCUAGAGGAAUGUGCUCUGAAUCCAACAACUUUGUGAAAGAACGGAGAGGAAGAUUUGGACACAGAGACACGGGGGAGACAGAAGCAGAGAUUGGAAUGAUGUGGCCACAAGUCAACAAACGCCUGGAGCCACAGGACCCCAGAAGCGGCAGCAUCUCAGCUUUGUCCUAAGGCUGUGGCUCUCCUCAUAGUCCCAAGAUAGCAUCCAAGACUCCAGCCAUCAUAUGCAGAAACAACAGAUUCCAGAGGAAGAAGAAACCAUUUCCUAAACAAGCCUCUUUUCAAGAGGAAGGAACUGUUUCCUGGUACUUAUGUUUAGUAAUCUGUCAUGUGCUAUCUUCAUUUGGGGUCCCCCAGAAGUAGACCCAAGGGUAAGGCUAUGAGUGCAAGCAGUUUAUCUGGGAGGUUGCUAUGAACUGAAUUGUGUCUUCCCAAAAUGCAUCUGUUGAAGCUCUAAC